AAGUCGUAACAAGGUUUCCGUAGGAAUAAGAUCCUCCUUGAAGCCUUUUGCACGACGACUAUAACCACGUGCACAGUCUCUUCUCUGAGAGGCUACGCCACUAAAGUGCUGGAAUACAUAUCUUGUAAAUCAGCAGCCAACCAUGAAUUGUCUUUUGUGCUUGGUUCACAGAUUAGCUAGUGAUGGUCAACGGGCGCUCGUGUCGUCGUUGAUUAAGAUAUAAUCGGUCUCAUGGUGACAAUCACGGUUGAAAAACGUUCCGUAGGUGAACCUGCGGAAGGAUCAUUA
rnacentral:rRNA from 1 species